GGAGAGGUGCCAGAGCGGUUGAAUGGGGCGGUCUCGAAAACCGUUGUACAUUUAAUAUGUACCGUGGGUUCGAAUCCCACUCUCUCCGCCA
rnacentral:tRNA from 1 species